GACUCCGUAGCUCAGUUGGUUAGAGCACCGCACUUUUAAUGCGGGGGUCCUGAGUUCGAAUCUCAGCGGAGUCA
rnacentral:tRNA from 1 species